GUCCAGAGAAUAGUUCUGUUAUUGAACUCUGGUUGAUGGAACAGACGGUGGUUCUGUGUCCCGGUCCAGAGUAUAGUUCUGUUAUUGAACUCUGGUUGAUGGAACAGACAGUGGUUCUGUGUCCCGGUCCAGAGAAUAGUUCUGUUAUUGAACUCUGGUUGAUGGAACAGACGGUGGUUCUGUGUCCCGGUCCAGAGAAUAGUUCUGUUAUUGAACUCUGGUUGAUGGAACAGACAGUGGAACAGUAUGUUGAGGGAGAGCUAAAUGAGAGGAAUAAUUUAACUUCAGUGUUUCUGUCUCUUGUACAGAUGGAACUACAAACCGUUUGUUUUAUAGUUGUUCUUUGUGCUGGUAACGUCCUUGAAUAAUUGUGUGUCUCAGAAAACUAGCGUAGUGCCGUCUUAAGCCAGAUCCAUCCGUUUGUUUAGACUUCUGUUUAAUCCUGAAUGUGGACCACAAAAGGAAUCUACUACAGUAUGUCUGGGAAGACCCUAGUAAACACUGCCACACAGUUUCUGCUCUAACAUAGACCAGUCUAGCCUAAGUGAAGCAUUUCAUGUAGAAUCCAAGAAUACAACCAGUCACCAGCAGCUUCAUAAGCAGUAGAAAAACAACACCACUCUGUGUGUUGGACAGAUCCUGUCAGGAUAGAUGUCAGUAUGUUGUGUGUUGGACAGAUCCUGUCAGGAUAGAUGUCAGUAUGUUGUGUGUUGGACAGAUCCUGUCAGGAUAGAUGGCAGUAUGUUGUGUGUUGGACAGAUCCUGUCAGGAUAGAUGGCAGUAUGUUGUGUGUUGGAUAGAUGGCAGUAUGUUGUGUGUUGGACAGAGCCUGUCAGGAUAGAUGGCAGUAUGUUGUGUGUUGGACAGAUGGUAGUAUGUGGUGUGUUGGACAGAGCCUGUCAGGAUAGAUGGCAGUAUGUUGUGUGUUGGAUAGAUGGUAGUAUGUUGUGUGUUGGAUAGAUGGCAGUAUGUUGUGUGUUGGGCAGAGCCUGUCAGGAUAGAUGGCAGUAUGUUGUGUGUUGGACAGAGCCUGUCAGGAUAGAUGGCAGUAUGUUGUGUGUUGGACAGAUCCUGUCAGGAUAGAUGGCAGUAUGUUGUGUGUUGGAUAGAUCCUGUCAGGAUAGAUGGCAGUAUGUUGUGUGUUGGAUAGAGCCUGUCAGGAUAGAUGGCAGUAUGUUGAACCUCCUCUGUGUGUUGGACAGAGCCUGUUAGAUGGCAGUAUGUUGACCCUGAGAACUAGGACUGACCCCUGAGCCCUGAGAAGUAGGACUGACCCCUGAGCCCUGAGAAGUAGGACUGAGCCCUGAGAAGUAGGACUGAGCCCUGAGAAGUAGGACUGAGCCCUGAGAAGUAGGACUGAGCCCUGAGAAGUAGGACUGAGCCCUGAGAAGUAGGACUGAGCCCUGAGAAGUAGGACUGAGCCCUGAGAAGUAGGACUGAGCCCUGAGAAGUAGGACCCAUUUUUUUUUUAUUACCUUUGUUUAACAAGGUCAGUUAAGAACAAAUUCUUAUUUUCAAUGACGGCCUACUGGGGAACAGUGGGUUAACUGCCUUGUUCAGGGGCAGAACAACAGAUUUGUACCUUGUCAGCUCAGGGAUUUGAACUUGUAACCUUUCGGUGACUAGCUCAACGCUCUAACCACUAGGCUACCCUGCCGCCCCUCUCUAACCACUAGGCUACCCUGCCGCCCCUCCUCUCUAACCACUAGGCUACCCUGCCGCCCCUCCUCUCUAACCACUAGGCUACCCUGCCGCCCCUCCCCUCUAACCACUAGGCUACCCUGCCGCCCCUCCACUCUAACCACUAGGCUACCCUGCCGCCUAUACACUCUAACCACUAGGCUACCUUCCGCCCCUACACUCUAACCACUAGGCUACCCUGCCGCCUCUACACUCUAACCACUAGGCUACCUGCCGCCCCUCCACUCUAACCACUAGGCUACCUGCCUCCCCACACAGAGAAAGGUCCACGUAUAUUUUUGCUAUGAUAUACAUCAUAUUCCUAACUGCAACUCUAUUUUUCUAACGUGUGGGUAGGCUCAUGUAAAGCCUGUUUUCAGAUGAAACAUGAUGAAGCCUUUUGUUUUUAGUAAUAAAAUGGUAUAAUUCAGUUCAUGUUCCCUCGUUGCUAAGAUACACCCUCACUGUUCUGUCAGCCUGCCUGAUGGGUAGCCUGGAAUCCAGGAUGUCUUAACAUUCCACUCCUUGCCACUGUUUGGCAUGACAAGGAUUGGCAAGGAGUGGAAUGUUAGCACAAAGAUGACUGGAUUUCAGGCUACGUGUCGGUCAGACUGUUGGAAACCGUUCAGAACCACAAAUAUUGUCAGAAUGAACGUGAAACACUUUUAAAUCAUGUUUUUAGUUUUGGACAAGUCCCUGAAAUUAACGCCUUUAUUCAAUUGAACCUGAAUUCAUUUUUUCCAUCUGAAAAUGGAACUAGCAGAUCUAUCCAGAUGUCUCUUUUACUUUCUUUUGGCACAAUGCCUUUUUAGUUAUGACCCUCACUGACGUUCAGUUGUCGUGGCCCCCAGUCUGUUCUGGUUAUGACCCUCACUGACGUUCAGUUGUCGUGGCCCCCAGUCUGUUCUG
ensembl:lncRNA